GCUAUUUUUGGGCUGAGCGGGGAGGGGGAGGGGGAAAAAAAAAGAAAAGAAGCAAAAAAAGGGGCCAGGGCCGGGGCUCGUCGCGCCGCGUGCCAAGAGGCGGAGGGGUGGGAGGGGUCUCCAUGGCAGCUGCGGAGCUGCUGCAGCUGUGGGUGCCCGGGGGGGGCCAGGUGGGUGAGAGGGGCGCGAUGUGUCCGUUAACGGACCGACCCCCCGCGAGGGUGAAGCCAAGGCCGCUCCCCGCCCAGCUGUCGGCGAUGGGCGCUGCGCCUUGUGCUGCCGGACAGCGGGAACCGGGAGGGGGGCUGCAGCGUGGGGACGUGUCACACCACGGAACGGGGAGGGCCAAGCCAAGGCAAGGACAGAGCCCAGACAAGAGCCCUCGGAUGCCUCAGUCCAGCCCAGCAGCAGAGGAGAGGAGCAGAGCAAGCAGCACACAGCCUUGAUGCAUAUUCAAAAGAAACACUUUGAGAAGCAGCACAGAAGAAGUGUCAAGCAAUAGAGAAGAGUGAACCAAGGGGUCCUUGGUCCUCCCCUCCCCGCUCCAUCUGCUGCUCCGUUAUCUGCAAAGCACAAGGAAUCAGGCAAAUCUCUUGCUACAAACCAGAUUUGCCUUUGUAAGCUUUGAAAUAAACCUCAGGAUUAAAGUCUAAAGACUUUUUUUUUUUUUUUU